rnacentral:lncRNA from 1 species
AUCUUUAAUUAAAAACAGAGUAAUUUUAAAGCUGUUUCGACGACAGUCUGCCCCGCUAUCAGUCACAGGCUAUGUGGAUCAGUUGUGGAUUUUGCAGCCAACAUACCUUUGGUCUGUUCAUUGUCAAUAGUCUGUUCCGUGAAGCAGUACAGCACGUGUAGAUUUUGAGUGUUUUACAGGUAGGUCUUAAGGUAUUUGUCAAUUACUGCAGGGAUAUAGCUUAUUUAUAGAAUGUAUCACAUGCACACUUGGCAGUCAGACAUGCAUGCAUGUCUGAAAUUCAUCGUUAAUAUAAGCGAUAAUGAGCGAUGUAUGUUGCGCAUUUUCGUUGCUGAGUUGUAUGUUUGGGAAAGAAGAAAACAAUUAUACAUGACAUAGUGUACUGUAGAGUUUCCAGUCACAUGCAGGCAUCUUCAGAGAAAUAUGAUGUCGUAUAUGUUCAUGGCACUACAUUGUCAACAUACAGUUGACUUCUUCAUUGUCAACAUACAGUUAGCCGGAUUGGUUGAUGGUCCUACAAUUUUUUUAGCAUUCGAGUCAACUUGCCUUGGUAAAAGCGCGAAAUCAAGUCAUAUCAUAUUAAUUAAGCGAAUGGAAAACAUGAUUGCACGAAUACUAUUUUGAGGGCAGUACGCGUGGAUUUUAGUAUUUUACUGUAAAUAAAUAUAUGAUAUCAAUUGAAAGAUUUUUGGCAUUCCUAGUCCCACCCAAAUCUCUAAAUCCGAAUCCGAACUAUUAAAUGAUUGUAAAGAAAACUAAAAUUAAUACAGGUUAGCCGUUAGGGAUCGAAGUCUAUGCAAUUGGUUGUGUCAUGACUACUUUCUUGGCCUGAGAGCCUAGCUGUCAUGAACCAAGACGAAAGGCCAUCAGCUCACGAUUCAUGAGAACGAGGCUCCCAGGUCAAGAAGAGAUUUGUGACGUAAUUAUCGAAAUGGUGUUUUGAAGUUACAGGUGUCGCAGCUUGAACUGUAGUCGUUGUAUUACAACACAUGAUGACCUGUAAUAAUUUACGGCGUUGUAAACAGAGCGAGGACGGCGUAUACUACCAUGCACUGUAAAAACAGAUUGGUUAAAUGAACAACCAUCAAAUUGAAUUGGCUAUCUAAGAUUCAAAAUGACAACCAAUUCCUGGCUUGUUUCAACCAAUUUGUUUAAAACGCUUUGAACAUGACGAUCAACUCUAAAAUGAAAGAUAUCGCGGAAUGACAUCACUUACGCCUGUAUUCUUAAAGCUCACUUACACUCAAAGAGUGAAGGUUCAUUCUGAGCUUCUCUUGAGUGUCAAGUGCUGUUUUUGAAUAGCUGAAGGGUUACUUUGUGCUGCAACUUACUAUGUGACUACUCACCCAGUAGCUAUUCAAAAACAGCUAGCACUGACACUCAAGAGAAGCUCUGAUUGAACCUCCACUCUCCGAGUGCGAGUGAGCUUUCAGAAUACAGGUGUUUAUAGUAUCAGUUUCGCGCUGUCACAAGCGUCAAUCCAUUUAAAGCUGACCAUAUACAACACUUAAAACCCACAGUAAUGAGGAAUUGCAAUGACGUAAUACGGACAUAAAUGAAAGACAAGGCGAGUCAGGAACUUCCGUCCUGUCCAACACGUCAUUUAGGGCAGUGCGAUUAAUCAUGCCCCAUUCUAGCGGUUAUAUACCUAAUUUAUGCUAUAGACGUGAUCAAUUACAAGCCAGACACGCUAAGAGACAAGCGCGACAAAUAUAGCGUUAUCAUUAGAGAGAAAAAACAAGUAAGUCGUAUUAUAUAAGAGUUUGUAGUGUCUGUGUAGUGUCUUACUUUAUGACAACUAUAUUUAAACAUUUAUGUGUACUUGUAUGUACAUAUUAUAUUCAAAUUUUGCGCCAGGAAGAAGCCAUAUAAUGGCAAUUAUAAAGCAAAUUAUACAGUAUAACGCUUACUGAAGUAUGCUCACAGUGUGCCAUGGGCGGUUGCAAUCAAAAUGUUGCUCAAUCCCAAAUCUGAUAACAUGAACGGCAUAGGCCAUAGCCAUAGCACCAGUGACACUGACUGCUAAUUUCAUAAAUGUACUGUAUGUGUAUAUGAUUCUAUACUUGCAAUUAGUUUUAUGAACUAUUGCAAUAGUCCGAGCAGGACAGCUCGUCAAAGCGGUGCAGUGCAGUGCUUGUAAGUUGUAAACUACGAAUUAUUUCAUCCUUAUAACUCCCGGAGCAGAAGCUGGUCACAGUUUAUGAGAUACAGCAGCCAAACGCGAGAGAACAGUUGGGAGACAUGAAUGCUAACUCUACAUAUUCAUGCAUGCACAUAAUUGAGAGUUUUACAGUACAGUGCCAGAUGUUUCUAGGACAGCAUGGCGCGCAUUGUACUACUUCGGCAUGUAUGGCCAUGGGGUUGAAACACAGAAAGGCUGAAAGUGAAAAAGCCUCAGUUCUAUAGCCCUGUACAUUCAAGAGCAUAUACAUGUCCUCUGUAUGAUCUAAGAGACUUAGCAUUACUCCCACGAGUUCUGUACAGCAACUAAUGAGUCUUAAUCGCUGAAGAGUAGCCCGCGGUGGAUGUCCCAAUAAUGGCCAACUUAGCCUCUCAGUUUUGAACAACAUUGGACUCACUUCAGAACAGCUUAAAUCCAAGAACUUGUACUACUAUAGCAUGCAGGGUAAAUCACUUGCACUCUCAGAUUAGUUUACAUUAAUUAUUCCUAUAAUUACAUUUAUAUUUUAAUGCUAUAAAGUCAUGUUUAGUACACAGUAAAAGUUUCCACAUGAUCAUCUAUCAAGCUUGCUAGUUAUGUCAAAUCUACGUAAUGUUCAACAAGGUAAUUUUAACAGACUGUCUUCUUGUUUACUGCUUAUUCUGGAGUAUCAAACAUGAAAUGCAACAAAACAGACAAACCCAAUUAUUUUUUCACGAACGAUAUCCGAUAUCUGUGAAAUUUUGAAGUGGCGCAUGCUGAAAAACUAAUGACCUUAAAUCUUAAUAGGUUUGACAAAAUUAUUUUUUUCUGUAAAGUGUAAAUAUCGACUUAAUUACAUAUGCACAUCCAGUCGUCCAUUAGAGUUAGAUAUUUUGAGUUUCGACUUUUACUGCUUGGAGAAACAGUUCAGUAUUUUUACAGGAACCUCUUGUGUUUUGUUUUCGCAUUGAAUGGACACUGGACUCUGUAUAUAGUCUGGAAUACGUCCGGGUACAGACGAUAUCAAGUCGAGACAGAGAUGAAAUCAAAGAAAGACUGUUAAAAGGCAAUAUUUAUUUUCACAGCCGGUAUUUCUCAUAAUUUUCUCACUGAUUUGUUUAUCUACGCAAAUUGUGUUUGUCUUCUUUGAAUAAACUGAUAGCGCUGUGAUAAAUUGUGAGAUAGGUGUCGUGUACUUCAUGUAGGGUGUGAAUGAGAAAAUGCAGAGGGGAGAGUGUAGAAUUUAUAAAGGCAUGGGAAUGGACUGAAACAACGAGUUUCGUUCAUUUACACAUGAUAAGCGCGCCGUUUGAACUACGCCGCCAAAUUCGCCUGAUUACUUGACGGAUUAUUCGUCUAGUGUUUAAACUGGACACAUAAUAUAAGAGACGUAGAAUGCGUUCAGAAGGAUAACUGGUAGCCUACGGUGUAAAGUGUAGACCCCAGAAGAAACACGUUUCGUGAAACGUGUUUCUGCUGGGGUCUACACCGUAGGCUAGAUAACUGGCCUCUGUAGCUCAGUUUGUUAGAGCGCUGCACCGGAAUCGCAGUGGGACCUAAAGUUGCAUUUUUCGAUUCUGUUCCUGGUCGACAAUCUCCAUCUACAAAUACAUUUCAACUAUUAUUAUGAGAUGCUAACAAAAUCUUGAUAUUAAUAAAUUCUUUUUUUUUUAACUUUUGGUAUAGUGUAAAUAAACUUUAAACAAACUGUAAUAAAAUACAAUCAACACUGACAAGUGUUUAUAUAACUAUACAGGUAUAUACGAUUAUUAAUUCAACGGAAGAAAACCCAUUAUCUUUGCAUAUUGUCAUAAUGCAGUGUGUUCCCACUCAAUACGCUUAAUCAUUUCAGCAAAUUGCAUUCAACCUCCUACAGCUGUCCUAGCAGGGUCUCCGAGAACCCUGUAGCGAAAACGGACAAUCACUCCACGGCGUAGCUGAAACCGAGCAAAGUUCGCAACCUUUAUUGUGCAUCGAGAAACAUAUCUGAAUGUAAUUUCCAGGGAGACAAAGACUUUAUAUGCAGAUAUUGUCAGAAGCAUUGACAAACUAAUUCAUCAAAUCUGAUUUCCCAUUUAGCUUUGCGAUCCACGUUUUCAUGAGGCCCGACGGACGAACACAUCUUGACGUGCCACUGCAUCAGAUUAAAUUUGGACGAAGCAAGUCGCUCAACACUCCUAGAACUCCAAGUAUCACAGGCAUGAAUUAUGUACGGCCGAAAAGGACCUACAGUUUACCCAACAGAGAGCGAACAAGCCUACCGAUCGUUCAAAUUAAUUUCUCUGACAAUGAUCGAGUCGACGAGGACAAUUGCAGUGAUAAAGAAACGGAAAGAGCUAACUACGGGAUUGCUACAGGACAUUAUGGGUCAAGCGGAGGUGAGGAUGCAAAAUAUAGCAAAUAUUAAAUAAAGCUACUACUCUGUGGUCAUACACACACAUUUCUGCACGUAUUUCCCCACUUUUUACACAUUCAAGACGCUAUACGAAACACAGUUGAUUGUAAUUUGUAUCAAUAAAAAUAUCAUUACGCCUAAUUUCUGAAAGAUAAUUCGUGUUUUCCUCGACAUUUGACAAGUUUCCCUUGCCCGAGAUAAAUAUUAUAUGAAGCCAACUUAUGCAUGCGAGUAUAGUGAUAUAUAAUACAGAUUUAUUCUUGAUCUUACCAUUUUCUAUAAGAAGUACGGGAUAUUCUAUCUAUACAACAUAUCAUUAACGCCUAAUUUGCGAAGGUCAAUACUCACAAUAGUCGUAGAGGAGCAUACAGCUUGUGUGCAUGUGACUGCAUACAUGUCAUCUUUUAAACACAGUCUGCCCAUUUACGUCAAUUGCCGUACCGAUGCUAGCAAGUUUUCAUCGAGCGGGACUAUGUUACGUAAAAUUAACUGAUGUGAUUCAUCAUGCCUAAUUUGCGAAUGCUAAUUGUCAUACAGACGCUAACAAGUUUUCCUCCGGACAAAUGUUCUUUCGGCACGGCAAACGGGCGAGGAAUCCUUGUUUAAAAGUAUAGUGCGGUAGCCACGGUAUUAGAUGUACAGCUAUCAACAAGAAUGUGUUCAACAUACACACACAAGCAAACAAAUUCGCCAAGAAACUCGAUCUGGAAAACUAGCUUGCUUGUACGAGAUUUUAGAGUUCGUUCACAUGACAGAAGACUGGACGACUGAUCGUGCGAAUUUUAGCACGUGGUUCCAAAAUCAUCCAAUCCUAGUGCACGCAUGUUUGAAGAGGGUCCCCAAGAUUAGUGUUGGCGAAAAUGGACAUACAUGUCAAUUCAAUUGACAAUAUACUUCGUUUCAUGUUGAGCAGAAUUAUGACACCGAGUGACACAUAUAAAUAAUUACAACAGUCGAACACCGUAUUUACCUAGUUUCCAGAACACGGAAUAUUUCCAUUUUUUUAUGCAAGCCACGAACAUCUUAUGCGCAUAUAUUCAGUGUGACGAGCACUUAUAAAAACUAUUUUUAAACCAGAAUCUCGUGUGAUUUACAUCUUUCAAAUUAGUUUUAUUCAAAAAGCUAUGGCAUAUACUUCUUCGCAUAUUAUUGGGUCUUAAAAAAUAUUUCAUUCUCCCAAACUAAUUCCUCCUAUUUAGAAAACAAACAUCAAUAACUUAUAAUAGCUAUAAGGCUAUAUCUCUUUUGUGAAGCUUAUCUAUAUUUAUAGAUGAGUUUUUUAAUUAUUCUGCUUUUGUCACAAAGGUUGCCUGCUGUUUUUGAAGUAUCGAGCAAUCAUAAAGUUUUGCUUGGGUAAUUUGCUUGCGCAGUUCAAUUAUAACGGAUUCAAAAACUGUAUCGAUUUGCGCAUAAAUGGCCAUAACUUCCCAAUCAAUUCAUGUAUUUCUCGUUUGUUUCUUUAAAAAUAUUUUAAAUUAAGGUUAAUUUCUGGAAGAUCGGACCGCGAAACUCAUAUGCAUGCGAUUAAUAAUUAAAGAGAACAUUAAUAAAAUAUACUAAGUGCUAAUUUGAAUAUACAAAAGCUAAUGAUAUAUUGUUUUGAAUGAAAGUAAUGACAUUGUGCGAAUACGUCGAUAUUAUGGCAAAGCAAUCAAUUUCCGUAAGCUAGAAUAUUAAUUUUGCAUCGACUAUUGGUCAACGUGUGGCAGAUAAGCAUUAAUAAUCUCGAAAGCUUGAUUUGAUUGGUAUAGAUUGGCAUGCUUUCUAUUUGAUGUUCAAGGUUAUAUCUUGUGACAAAGUUGAUGAGCCCAACAGACUUGCAACAAGUCGUUCCAACAAGUCUGAUAUAGUCUGCAAGUUGUUAACAAGUUGAUGACUCGCAGCAACUUGUUAACGGAACAGCCUGUAUUGGUCUUGUUGGAACAAAUUGUCUGUUACCUUCACCAACCUUGUAACAAGGGUGAUGGUUUCAGACUUGUCACAACAACUCGGAACAAGCCUUCCCACCGGGCACAUGACGUUGUUUCAAGGUUGAAAUUUCGACAACCUAAUAUCUACGUUGCUCUGACGUUGUUUUACAAACAUUGGUUCAACAGCAGCCAACAGACGUUGAAUUAACGUUCAUUCAUGGUUACAUGUACGACGUCGAUUUGUGAACCAAUCUCAACGUUGUUUUAACGUGGAUUCAACGUUGAAUUAUGGUUGACGAGAUUGGCAACCUAAUUUCAACGUUGUUUCAACGUCGAAACAAUAACGUCGAUCCAAUUUGCAUAGUCAACCCUUUUUCAACGUCUAUCCAACGUCUGGAAGGUCAUUUCCAACGUUGAUUCAACGUUGGAUAAACGUCAUUUUGCCCGCUGGGUUGUGGGAACACACCCUGAUAUCGGCUUGACAACAACCUUGUUACAAUUUGAUUGCAAAUCUGGAACAACUUGCGCGUUUUUACGGGCAUGUACUAUCACAUUAACACCUUUCCCAUCAAAGACUCAUUCAAGAUUUCAUUAUUUUUUACCAGGAGACGCUAUGGAACCACUGUUUGGCGUUCUUCUCAGUGUUAUCUUUCUAAUUUGGUCGUGGAUGCUGGAUGCAUAUAAUUUAUAGCAAUAUUUGUUAUUCAUUCCUUGGAUGUACAUAAUUAAUUGAUUUCUUCAAAAUUAAGGAAUACCAUUUUGUUGAAUGAACGAUGUCCUAAUUUCAAUAAGAAGACAAAACUGACUUUUAGGAAGAAAUGUAAUUGAUUUGUGUUAUACGGAGUAUAUAUAAUUUUUUUACCAAAGAAAAAUUUGUUGUAUGUACAUAAAAGAGUGUAAAUGGUGUUGAAAUGUAUACGUUUUUGUGUAUUUGUUAAAACUUGGACAUUGUGGUACAUUUUUAGUAGGCGAUUUGCGCAUUUGAUGAUCAUUUUUAAAAAUGCAAUAAGCCUGGUUUCCAUUAAAUCAUAAUUAUCGCAAGCGUCGCAACGAUUUUAAAAAUGCGAAAUUUUUAAUAAAAACUGCGAUUUAUUGGAAACUUGAGUCACACCGAUAACUAAUACUCUUACCGACAAAGUCGCAAAGAUAGACUUACUGCGAUUUUUGCGAUAGCGAUGUCUGCGUUCCGCGACUAUUGCGAUGAUUACGAUUUAAUGGAAACCAGGCUAUACAGUAAGGUGUAGUUUAGUACAGUGUUCCUUUCAAAGUUCGUUUAAAAAAUUACAAUUUUUGCUGCGAUGUCCAGUGCGAUUUCCUUCUUCUGAAGGAUGUGAACGAGUGGAUGAGUAAUGAAUGUUUGGGUAUAUGCACCUUUUCAACUAUGUUUAAAAUCUCAAAUUCUGAUAAAUAUAAUUUAAGAAGUAAUAACAAGAUGC